rnacentral:rRNA from 1 species
AUGGACGAAAGUCUGACCGAGCAACGCCGCGUGAGUGAAGAAGGUUUUCGGAUCGUAAAGCUCUGUUGUAAGUCAAGAACGUGCGUGAGAGUGGAAAGUUCACACAGUGACGGUAGCUUACCAGAAAGGGACGGCUAACUACGUGCCAGCAGCCGCGGUAAUACGUAGGUCCCGAGCGUUGUCCGGAUUUAUUGGGCGUAAAGGGAGCGCAGGCGGUCAGGAAAGUCUGGAGUAAAAGGCUAUGGCUCAACCAUAGUGUGCUCUGGAAACUGUCUGACUUGAGUGCAGAAGGGGAGAGUGGAAUUCCAUGUGUAGCGGUGAAAUGCGUAGAUAUAUGGAGGAACACCAGUGGCGAAAGCGGCUCUCUGGUCUGUCACUGACGCUGAGGCUCGAAAGCGUGGGUAGCGAACAGGAUUAGAUACCCUGGUAGUCCACGCCGUAAACGAUGAGUGCUAGGUGUUAGGCCCUUUCCGGGGCUUAGUGCCGGAGCUAACGCAAUAAGCACUCCGCCUGGGGAGUACGACCGCAAGGUUGAAACUCAAAGGAAUUGACGGGGGCCCGCACAAGC